CAAACGAUAUUGCGCUCGCUAGAAACGAUGUCAAGGAAAACGACGACUGCGCUCUGCUGUAAUGCAUGCACGUAGGUUCUUGCUCGGACUGCUGGGACGAAACCUACGCCCAACAGAACGAAGAUUGAGGAAGACAGUCGAUAUAGGAAGUUUAGGCUUAUAUGGAGAAACUGUCAGUUCAAGUCUUUAUUUCAUUUGUGUCUUUGAUUUACUAGUGAUGUAACCAAUAUUGACUACGGGGAUGAAGGUACUUAUGGUGUGGAGUGACUAAAUGAAUUAAUUAAGAGACAAGCAGACAGAAACACAAUUGGACUACAAACAGAGACAAUUAACGAGAGAAAUGAGCAGAGUGAGGGGGACAGGGAUGAACACAACAGAGGAGGGUUUCAGCUUCAUUUUUACACAUCAUAUACAGUAGUUAGUGUUCUGCAGGAACCUCGUUUUGAAAGUGAUUAGAUGCUGUUGCAUCAGACGUGGCAUCCCAUCAGCCAUACAAUUUAUCAGUUUGUAUGGUAACUGUGACUCGACACUGACAGCCCAGGUUCAAGUGCCACUCUAAACAAUGACUCAUCGGAACUGCCUGCCAGGCUUGGUACUAAAUGUGUCGACUUCCUGAGAAGCAAGUCGUUCACAUUUAUAGGAGAUCUUCUUUUGGCUCUGUCGCCUAAUUUGCCACCAAGUGGGCAACCUUAAUUAAUUAACUAACUAACCUUGUUAUGUAGUUGGUAUGAGUAUCAUGGAUAGAAGCUUUUAUCUUAGAUUUGUUUUCAUUUGGCAUUUAGUAUAGCACAGUCAAACAGAAAGUGUUUAUUACUCUAUACUUUCUGUCUGUUGUGGCUGCAAGCAUCCAAUGUGUGAGAGACUCCUA